UAGGGAAUCUUCGGCAAUGGACGGAAGUCUGACCGAGCAACGCCGCGUGAGUGAAGAAGGUUUUCGGAUCGUAAAGCUCUGUUGUUAGAGAAGAACGUUGGUAGGAGUGGAAAAUCUACCAAGUGACGGUAACUAACCAGAAAGGGACGGCUAACUACGUGCCAGCAGCCGCGGUAAUACGUAGGUCCCGAGCGUUGUCCGGAUUUAUUGGGCGUAAAGCGAGCGCAGGCGGUUCUUUAAGUCUGAAGUUAAAGGCAGUGGCUUAACCAUUGUACGCUUUGGAAACUGGAGGACUUGAGUGCAGAAGGGGAGGGUGGAAUUCCAUGUGUAGCGGUGACAUGCGUAGAUAUAUGGAGGAACACCGGUGGCGAAAGCGGCUCUCUGGUCUGUAACUGACGCUGAGGCUCGAAAGCGUGGGGAGCAAACAGG
rnacentral:rRNA from 1 species